CUACGGGCGGCUGCAGUGGGGAAUAUUGCACAAUGGGCGCAAGCCUGAUGCAGCCAUGCCGCGUGUAUGAAGAAGGCCUUCGGGUUGUAAAGUACUUUCAGCGGGGAGGAAGGGAGUAAAGUUAAUACCUUUGCUCAUUGACGUUACCCGCAGAAGAAGCACCGGCUAACUCCGUGCCAGCAGCCGCGGUAAUACGGAGGGUGCAAGCGUUAAUCGGAAUUACUGGGCGUAAAGCGCACGCAGGCGGUUUGUUAAGUCAGAUGUGAAAUCCCCGGGCUCGACCUGGGAACUGCAUCUGAUACUGGCAAGCUAGAGUCUCGUAGAGGGGGGUAGAAUUCCAGGUGUAGCGGUGAAAUGCGUAGAGAUCUGGAGGAAUACCGGUGGCGAAGGCGGCCCCCUGGACGAAGACUGACGCUCAGGUGCGAAAGCGUGGGGAGCAAACAGGAUUAGAUACCCUUGUAGUC
rnacentral:rRNA from 1 species